rnacentral:tRNA from 1 species
GCCUUUAUAGCUCAGUUGGUUAGAGCGUUGGUUUUGUAAACCAAAGGUCACGAGUUCGAUUCUCGUUGAAGGCU